CUGCAUGGUUUCUGCAUUCAGUAGUUUAUUCCUGCCGGGUGUUCAAAGGACAGUGCAAUAUAAAUUCAGUAUCUGGCAUCGUUGGUUUUCUUGGCUUUGUGGAUGUUAAACCUGGUAUUUUUAUUGAAACAUUAUUCUUACAGUUCUUACUCUUCAGUUAGACAUAAGUAAUCUUUGGUAGGAACUAAUACUUGUCUUUUUCUAGGGUGUCAGAAACUAAAAAACCAGGCAGAUCCAUCUACUCAGACCCUAACCAUGGCCCUAAAGUAAAUUGCUUGAAGAAAUUAGUUCCCAACGAUUAUAGGUGCAGAGUUUUUGAAGUAUGUCCAUAUUCAAGUGUAGAUCAAAGAAGCUCAAUUAAAAGGAUUCUGGCAAGUUACUGUCUUU